rnacentral:rRNA from 1 species
AUUGAACGCUGGCGGCAUGCUUUACACAUGCAAGUCGAACGGUAACAGCACUUCGGUGGCUGACGAGUGGCGAACGGGUGAGUAAUACAUCGGAACGUGCCUAGUAGUGGGGGAUAACUACUCGAAAGAGUAGCUAAUACCGCAUGAGAUCUAAGGAUGAAAGCAGGGGACCUUCGGGCCUUGCGCUACUAGAGCGGCUGAUGGCAGAUUAGGUAGUUGGUGGGAUAAAAGCUUACCAAGCCGACGAUCUGUAGCUGGUCUGAGAGGACGACCAGCCACACUGGGACUGAGACACGGCCCAGACUCCUACGGGAGGCAGCAGUGGGGAAUUUUGGACAAUGGGCGCAAGCCUGAUCCAGCAAUGCCGCGUGCAGGAUGAAGGCCUUCGGGUUGUAAACUGCUUUUGUACGGAACGAAAAGCCCUCUUCUAAUACAGGAGGGUCAUGACGGUACCGUAAGAAUAAGCGCCGGCUAACUACGUG